AUCUUGCUUGAACCGGUUAUGGGGUGAAAUUGAUGCCAAAAGUGAUUUAGUUUUUUGUAUUUCUUAGUCACUCAGGUUUACGGACAGUGCCUUUUUCCUCAAUGUGACGCCAUAACCUGUCUGUUAAGGCCUGGGACGGUGAAUCCAGAGGAGGAGGAACAAACUGAGGAGUUGGAUUUCAGUUUGAGAAAGAAUAUUUACCAGGACGUCACGGAAGAGAGAAAAAACAAUCUGUUUCAUACCAGGAUCACCAAUCGAUUGGUGCAGGACUCCAGCGUGUGAAUAAUGGCUAUUGAUCCGGAAGUGGCCCCUGGGCUGGAGCCCGCCCCCCAGAACAAGAUUGAGGACCUAAAGAGGCAGACUGACGGGGUGAUCAUAAUCUUGGAAGAAAACAUCAACAGCCUGAUAAAACGAGAGGACAGCCUGGAACGCCUGGAGAAAUUUUCCAAGGAGAUGGAGGAGGAGGCCAAGCGCUUCAGGGGGACGGCACAGAAGGUGGAGCGCUCUUACUGCCUGAAGAACGUCAAGCUGGUCGUGGUCAUCGUGGUGGUCGUCCUCGUCAUCAUCCUCAUCAUCGUCCUGCUGGCCACAGGGGUCAUCCCUGUGGGGUCCCCAUCCACGCCCCUCGCAAUCCCCACCACCCCCAAACCAUAAACAAACACACCCUCACGUAGACACACGACACACCCUCACGUAAACACACUCGCAUGCACAGACCUGUUUGUGUUAAUUGACAUGUACAAUAUUGCAGGUACACCGUACACGAUCAUGCAAACAAACAUUCAGGGCAUUCAUUUACCAUAAUCCACUUCUUAUGGGAAUAGCCAUUCGCUACACUAUUUUACGCUCAAAUUAAAAAGUGUGUGAAAACAUUGUAUAAAUGAAUUAACAUAAGCUACACAGGUUGGGGUUUGAGUCCAUCCUUUAUUUCAGUUGUGUGAUUCUUAUUGGAAAAUGCUGCAUAUUCACAUAUUUGCAUGUGAUUCCUUUUUCAGUUCUCCCCUCUUUUUCAGUGUGCUUAUCUGAUUGGUGCCAAUUUACCGUUAGUCCUCUUCGAAGGCUGACCAAUCCCAGCAGUUUGUUUUACUUCUUUCCCACUUGUUUUCAUGGACGUGUGUUAAUGACGUUGUUAUGAGUAUAUUAAAACACUUUGUUCCCUUUUCUGUAUCUUUCUCUGCUUUUGUCGGUAACCCAUCUAUAAACUGUGUGCUCACAAAACAUGAACAUGAAAAUAAAUGAACAUUUUUUUCUCAA